GGCUGGGGGGCUGGAAGCGCCAACAAGACCUGCUGGGAGGAUUGGCGUCUGCAGGCCCAAGAGUGACUUGGGAGCGCUGGGUGAGGAGGUGGAUCUCGGCCUAGUCUGCUUGUGCUGAAAUAGAACUCUUAUUUCGAGGAAAUCAAUCAAUCCGCAGGAAACAAAAAUGGAAGUCGAGGUUUGGGAAGACUUGUCACUUCCCCGACUUGAGUGGUGCGGGCUGGGGGCGGAGACUUGGGAGACUGAAGAGAGGCCCUUUCUCCCACCUCAGCGCCUUUCCCAGGACUUCUAGAAGGGAGAAUGACCCUCCUCACCUCCCUUUCCCAACCCACCCUGGCUCGGCUUUCAGUCCCUUUCUGCACCUCCUUUUCCCUUCAAGUGAGAAAAGCCUAGUUCCCGAGCUGACGGAGUCGGUUCCCUCGCCCCUCCCGCUUCCACGCGGGUCCCCCCCCCACCUCCCCAGCCAUCGUUACUGCCACCACCUCGGUUCCACUCAAUCGAUUUUUGCUGCAGGUCAACAUUUAUUACCGAUUCUCCGACAGGGGCGAAAAAAAUCCCGUCUGCAAAUUCAGGGCUGCAGCUCCCGGCGCGAAGCUCCCCUCCCCAGCCCGGAGCCUCCUUGCCUCGUGCAGCCCCGCCGGCCUGUCAAGCGCCCCGCGCCUGGAGUGCCAGCCUGGACAGCUGACCCGGGCGUUCUGGACCCCUGGAUUCUGCAGGGCCACGCGGCCCAGCCCUGCGGGGGACCCGCGAAGGAGCCGCUGCCGCACCUGAACGUGCUCCCGGCAGGCGGCAUCACCCUGGGCCUCCCUGGACGCCCGAACUGUGGCUCCAGCACCACUUUGUAUUGACCACAACAGCUGCUUUAUCUUGAUGUUCCAUUUUUUGGCCGGCGACGUGGGAGAAGGGCGGUGGCCAGACGUGCCGCCUCGCAUGACCCUGACGGUAUUUUCAGAGGCACCCGGAGAAGCGGCGGCCCAGAGGGCAACCUACGCACCUCCGGGGACUCUUCUCGGGUCCCUCCGGACAACAAAACUGGAAUCUAAUCCGCAGCUGCCGCCGCCCGCCCCCCUCCCCCCC
rnacentral:lncRNA from 1 species